rnacentral:tRNA from 1 species
GUUUUAAUAAUUUAAUAAAAAUAUUGGUCUUGUAAACCAACAUUAAGAACUAUCCCUUUUAAAACU